rnacentral:lncRNA from 1 species
CUAAAGAAAGAGUUUCCAAGAGAGAAAAAGAGAGGGAGGAAAACUAUUUUUCCUAGAAGUUUAAGAAGUGUUUUCAAGCAUCAAUUCUCAACGAUUUUCAAACAUCCAAGGAGUGCAUUUCUUUCAACGUCCAAGUUUCAUCGAAGUUUUCAAUCCAAGUUUUCAAAGUUUCAAAAGCAUCAAGCAAGGUAGGUAGAGGUGCAAUGUGUUUAAUCGUGUUAAGUUAUAAGUUUCGAUU